rnacentral:misc_RNA from 1 species
GUGAAAGUUUGGGCAAUUGGUUUUCUUCUUGCGAUAAACUUGGGAUUGCUGCAGAGCAUGGCUAUUUUAUGAGGUGGUCUGCUGAUAAGGACUGGGAAAAUUGUGGUCAAGGUAGUGAUUUUGGCUGGAUACAGAUUGCAGAGCCAGUCAUGAAAUUAUAUACAGAAGCUACUGACGGGUCUUCCAUUGAAACCAAGGAAAGU